AAUGCUACGGACAAAGGGCAGCAAACUCGCGAGAGCUAGCAAAUCCCAUAAACGUGGGCUCAGUUCAGAUCGUAGGCUGCAACUCGCCUACGUGAAGUAGGAAUCGCUAGUAAUCGCAGGUCAGCAUACUGCGGUGAAUACGUUCCCGGGCCUUGUACACACCGCCCGUCACACCAUGGAAGUUGGCCAUGCCCGAAGUCGUUACUCCAACCCUUGUGGAGGAGGACGCCGAAGGUGGGGCUAAUGACUGGGGUGAAGUCGUAACAAGGUAGCCGUACCGGAAGGUGCGGCUGGAUCACCUCCUAACAGGGAGACAACAAAAUGUUUAAUAUUAUUAUUUUGUCACCUUAGGUCGAUCGGUAUCUCACGUUUUUAAUUUAUUAAGAAUUUCAUUUCCUAAGUUUUUCUAGGUCACACCCAUUAUUUUUCCUGGGCCAUUAGCUCAGGUGGUUAGAGCGCACCCCUGAUAAGGGUGAGGUCCCUGGUUCAAGUCCAGGAUGGCCCAUAUCUCUAUGUUGGGGGUAUAGCUCAGUUGGUAGAGCGCCUGCUUUGCAAGCAGGAUGUCAGCGGUUCGAGUCCGCUUACCUCCACUGAUUACCACCUCUUCCAUAACCGGUAGAAAGGAAAUGUUUUGAGUUGUGAUCAAAUUCUUAAAGAAUCUAGCUUCCUAAUGAAAUCAUUAAGAUGCUGGACUCAUUGAAUUAAUUUCUUUGUUUUCAGAGAACCUUGACAACUGCAUAGAUUAUUUUUAAAGACAAUAAGCAUCUUUAAUGAUGCAGAUUUAUUAUUUGUGCGAAUGCAUUAAUAACAAUUCUAUUAAGCUGAUGCUUCAAUUUUUGAAGUUAUUGGUCAAGCUACAAAGGGCUCACGGAGGAUACCUAGGCACACAGAGGCGAUGAAGGACGUGGUUACCUGCGAUAAGUCUCGGGGAGUGGAAG
rnacentral:misc_RNA from 1 species